AAUUUUUUUCUUAGGUUUUCAUCGCCGAAUGCGAGAAUUAUUUCGAUUUUGUUUGAUUAACCGAGAUUUAGUUAGUUUUAAUGUUGUUUUAUUUUAUUUUAAGCUAUUAAGAUCUUGAUUUUCACUGUAAUGGAGAAAUUCAAUUGAGAUACGUACAUGAAGUUGUUGCUACCUACAGAUCAAGAUAAUCAACAAAGAAUCAGUCAAGAUAAAUCAUAUUGUAUAUACGAUGCACUGCAGAAAAAUCACAGUAUAUAUACGCUGCACUGCUGAACAAUCAUAACUUAAAAGCAGCACUCCAGAUAAAAUCGCAGUGCAUAAACUAUGUAUUGACAAGUGGGUGAAGGCAAGUGCAUAAAAGCAGUACAUAAAAGCAUCACUCCAGAGGAAAGGCAAGCUUGAAGUCCAAAAUAAUCUCUGAAGAGGUUUAUUAUCCUCUAGCAUAUGCUUAGUUUCUGGAGAAGACGUUACACUAGUU